GGAUGCGAUCAUACCAGCACUAAAGCACCGGAUCCCAUUAGAACUCCGAAGUUAAGCGUGCUUGGGGAGAGUAGUACUAGGAUGGGUGACCUCCUGGGAAGUCCUCGUGUUGCAUUCC
rnacentral:rRNA from 2 species